rnacentral:tRNA from 1 species
GAGGGUAUGGCCCAGUGGUAGAGUUGUGCGCUUAGCAAGCAUGAAGUCCUGGGUUCAUUCCCCAGUACCUCUA